rnacentral:rRNA from 1 species
AUUGAACGCUGGCGGCAUGCCUUACACAUGCAAGUCGAACGGCAGCACGGGGGCAACCCUGGUGGCGAGUGGCGAACGGGUGAGUAAUACAUCGGAAUGUACCCAGUAGUGGGGGAUAACUAGUCGAAAGAUUAGCUAAUACCGCAUACGCACUAUGGUGGAAAGCGGGGGAUCGCGAGACCUCGCGCUAUUGGAGCAGCCGAUGUCCGAUUAGGUAGUUGGUGGGGUAAAGGCCUACCAAGCCUGCGAUCGGUAACUGGUCUGAGAGGACGACCAGUCACACUGGGACUGAGACACGGCCCAGACUCCUACGGGAGGCAGCAGUGGGGAAUUUUGGACAAUGGGGGAAACCCUGAUCCAGCAAUGCCGCGUGUGUGAAGAAGGCCUGCGGGUUGUAAAGCACUUUUAGUGGGGAUGAAAAGCCGAAGGCUAAUACCUUUCGGUCUUGACCUAACCCAAAGAAAAAGCACCGGCUAACUCUGUGCCAGCAGCCGCGGUAAGUGACGUC